rnacentral:rRNA from 1 species
AGUGAACGCUGGCGGUAGGCCUAACACAUGCAAGUCGAACGGCAGCACAGUAAGAGCUUGCUCUUACGGGUGGCGCGUGGCGGACGGGUGAGGAAUACAUCGGAAUCUACUUUUUCGUGGGGGAUAACGUAGGGAAACUUACGCUAAUACCGCAUACGACCUACGGGUGAAAGCAGGGGAUCUUCGGACCUUGCGCGAUUGAAUGAGCCGAUGUCGGAUUAGCUAGUUGGCGGGGUAAAGGCCCACCAAGGCGACGAUCCGUAGCUGGUCUGAGAGGAUGAUCCGCCACACUGGAACUGAGACACGGUCCAGACUCCUACGGGAGGCAGCAGUGGGGAAUAUUGGACAAUGGGCGCAAGCCUGAUCCAGCCAUACCGCGUGGGUGAAGAAGGCCUUCGGGUUGUAAAGCCCUUUUGUUGGGAAAGAAAAGCAGCAGGUUAAUACCCCGCUGUUCUGACGGUACCCAAAGAAUAAGCACCGGCUAACUUCGUG